rnacentral:rRNA from 1 species
UACGUAGGUGGCAAGCGUUGUUCGGAAUUACUGGGCGUAAAGCGCACGUAGGCGGCUUGGUAAGUUAGAGGUGAAAGCCUGGGGCUCAACCCCAGAAUUGCCUUUAAGACUGCUGGGCUUGAACGUCGGAGAGGUGAGUGGAAUUCCGAGUGUAGAGGUGAAAUUCGUAGAUAUUCGGAAGAACACCAGUGGCGAAGGCGGCUCACUGGACGACUGUUGACGCUGAGGUGCGAAAGCGUGGGGAGCAAACAGG